rnacentral:tRNA from 1 species
GCAAAUGGUUAAUGUAUUUGGUUGCCAACCAAAAUUUUGGUGGUUUGAACCCACC